AACACCUCAAAGCUUUUGGAUUUUUUUUGAAAGCUUUGGACUUGAGCAAUCCCAACGCCAAUCUUUUUCAGAUCGGCGGCGGGUUGCUUGAAAUGCAGGUGCAGCUGGACUUUCUCCUGAGCUAAAAGCAUAUUCAUUUAGUCCCGUCAAACGGAUUAUUACUUUUGCUGCAGCUAACUUAAAGGGAGUUUGACCGUAUUGGCUGACUGAUGCAGGAUUUUACAAGGGUCGGCAACGAUUCUUGUUAA
rnacentral:misc_RNA from 1 species